rnacentral:rRNA from 1 species
CCCUUAGAUGUUCUGGGCCGCACGCGCGCUACACUGACUACUUCAACGAGUUGUUUCCUUGAUCGAAAGGUCUGGGUAAUCUUUGAAAGGUAGUCGUGAUGGGGAUAGAUCCUUGCAAUUUUUGAUCUUCAACGAGGAAUUCCUAGUAAACGCAAGUCAUCAGCUUGCAUUGAUUACGUCCCUGCCCUUUGUACACACCGCCCGUCGCACCUACCGAUUGAAUGGUCCGGUGAAUCUUUAGGACUGUGGCUGAGGCCUUGCCUUGUGCGGGUCUGGCCGUGGGAAUUUAGUUAAACCUUACCAUCUAGAGGAAGGUGAAGUCGUAACA